GCAGUGGUGGUUCAUUGGAAGAAUCCUCGCCUUCCAUUCAGGAGACACAGGUUCGAUUUCUGGCCAAUGCA
rnacentral:tRNA from 1 species